UGCAGUAUAGAACAGAUCACUUAUGGAAAGUCACAGGAAAGAUUUCUUCAUUACUUCCAUGGGCCACAUCCGCACUCCUCUCCAGGUACGCUUCUCCUUGUCAACCCUUCUUCCCUCCCUUCUGUGUAUGGUUCCACUGCAGAGCUAUACAUCUUGUUCAGUCCUGUACAUGACUGCUGUAUCACUGCUCGUAAGGAAACCUCCCAGCUGUUCAAAAGAAGCCAUGGAGCCAGUCAAGGACAACCACAUUCAGCAAGACAGAGGCACCCUGAGAUAGCAUUGAGUUAAUGCAACUAUCCAACCCUGGCAAGUGCCACUGAAUGGUCGGUCUCACAGUGUCCAACAGCCUUAUUUGGGCCCUUCUCCCAUGGACUGGCCCAGCCAGGCACUGUUUGUGAGGAACUGGGGAUCUUUUCCCUGGCCUGUGUCCCAGGACACCUCCAAAUGCAUCCCGUCUUCCUAAUGGGAUGAGACAUGGGCAUGCAACAUCCUCCCACCACACUACCCCUCCUGCUCGUGGGAGGAGACCUGCAUGUGUGGCCAGAAGGGCACCAAGAAGACCCUGAGGUUGCAAAGCUGAGGAGCAGAGCUACAACUGGUGCUACCAGAUACCUCUCCACCACGUACCCUGCAUCGGUCGGUGCAUGUUUUUGAAAUUCCCAGCACACAAGGUGGUGCCCAUGCAGCAACAAGAAGCUGCUUCUUUCCUGUAAUGUGUUGCUGUAACAUGGUAUAAGACACUGAGGACUAAUUUGGGGUGAUGGUGGGGGGUGCAUACGUUUAGUCAGACACCAACUAUUUCCUGGAAUAAAUAGAUGGGAUGUAAGCCAGUGUAGAUAGAUUUCAGAUGACUGCUGGGAUAUAUGCCAAUUGUACCAGAGAAUAAAAGCAGAUCCAACCAAGUAUGUAAGGGAAUAAUGAGAUACAGAAUAAUUCUUUAUAACAAUAGAAUUAUAAUAAUAACAUAAUUCAGAGCAUACAUCAUUCUAAAUAAAAGUAUUAUUCUAAAUAUAGUUUUGAAUAAUAAUCUUAAAUAAUUCUAUGUACAAUGGCAUGAGAGUGACAGCUGGGCUUUAUAGCCAGCGUAACUGAAAACAGUUUUUCAGAGUGAUUUUUGAUAAAGAAAAGGGAUUUGAAUAAAGAUCUCUCACUUUUACCUGACCCUAUAAUAAUUCCCCAUCUUCACAUUUUCCAGACUUUUUAAUAAAAUACAAUAUCAAAUUGUCCAGAUCACUAGAUCUCUUAAACGGUUGUUUAUUCUUUGAUAAGCCACUGGGCUGUGCUAUUACUCUACAUUUUAAGGUUUCAUUUCUCAUAUACCACCUUCCAACAUGUUGUUCAGAAGAAUGACUGCUUCUAGUGGCAGAUUUAAAUUGCACAGUAACAUAAGAAUCUGGUCAAUAAUUAAUGCCACAAUAGCAAAUAAUGAGCUGAAUUUUAGCUCAGUUGCUUUUUUUUGUUUGUUUGUUUGUUUUCUUUGUGUACCUGUAAAUGCAUAGAGUAAACCAAUUACUGUUGCAUCAAAAUAGUUUUCAGGCACAUUAGAAGUAUCUAGUGAUGCAUAUUACUUGUAAUUGAAUGCUGCAGUCCAGCUACCAGCUUCUUUCCAAACAGAUGCUCUGUUCUCUAUAGGUAAAUAGAAAAUUUAAUCCAAAUUAAAA